rnacentral:rRNA from 1 species
GGAUAACGUUUGGAAACGAACGCUAAUACCGCAUGAUAUUAUUGGGCAGCAUUGCCUGAUAAUCAAAGGAGCAAUCCGCUGAAAGAUGGGCUCGCGUCCGAUUAGGUAGUUGGCGGGGUAACGGCCCACCAAGCCGACGAUCGGUAGCCGGACUGAGAGGUUGAACGGCCACAUUGGGACUGAGACACGGCCCAGACUCCUACGGGAGGCAGCAGUGAGGGAUAUUGGUCAAUGGGGGAAACCCUGAACCAGCAACGCCGCGUGAGGGAAGACGGUUUUCGGAUUGUAAACCUCUGUCCUCUGUGAAGAUGAUGACGGUAGCAGAGGAGGAAGCUCCGGCUAACUACGUGCCAGCAGCCGCGGUAAUACGUAGGGAGCAAGCGUUGUCCGGAUUUACUGGGUGUAAAGGGUGCGUAGGCGGCUUUGCAAGUCAGAAGUGAAAUCUAUGGGCUUAACCCAUAAACUGCUUUUGAAACUGCAGGGCUUGAGUGAAGUAGAGGUAGGCGGAAUUCCCGGUGUAGCGGUGAAAUGCGUAGAGAUCGGGAGGAACACCAGUGGCGAAGGCGGCCUACUGGGCUUUAACUGACGCUGAGGCACGAAAGCGUGGGUAGCAAACAGGAUUAGAUACCCUGGUAGUCCACGCUGUAAACGAUGAUUAAUGGGUGUGGGUGGACUGACCCCAUCCGUGCCGGAG